UACGGGGGGAGCAAGCGUUGUUCGGAUUUACUGGGCGUAAAGGGCGCGCAGGCGGCCACCGCAAGUCGGUUGUGAAAUCUCUGGGCUUAACCCAGAAAGGUCAACCGAUACUGCGGGGCUAGAGUGCAGAAGGGGCAACUGGAAUUCUCGGUGUAGCGGUGAAAUGCGUAGAUAUCGAGAGGAACACCUGCGGCGAAGGCGGGUUGCUGGGCUGACACUGACGCUGAAGCGCGAAAGCUAGGGGAGCGAACGGG
rnacentral:rRNA from 1 species